GCGGGAGAGCGGCCCUGCCCGCCGCCAGGUCCAGGUCCCUAGACCGUGGGUCUUCACUUUUCAAUUAAACCUCUCUGGAAACAGUCUCAUAGACACACUGAGAGGUAUCAGAAAACAUAGCAACUAAAAGCAGUUUCUGCAGAAAAUUGAGUGAAGUGCUAUCCAUAAUUCCAGGGGCUGGGGAUGGAGGAACAGUAAAACAAUCCAAGACUGGGAAAUUUCACUUUAAAAGCUGCGGGACCGGGUGGGACAGAAACCUCCAUCGACAGUGAAGGUGAGUGAACUAGCUCAGCAGAUAAAGACCUGUGUGGUGGCAGAAGAGGCCCGACUCCUGCAAGUUGCCUGCUGUCCUCCACAUAUGCAUCUUAGCAGCCACUCAUUAUUCCUCACCUCUGACACAAACACAAAAAAUAUAAUUCAACAUUUUUUGAACUGUUUGAUGAAAUAAUAGCUGUUGAAUUCAUGAAUCCAUGAACGACUUGAUGUGUGAAUCAAACAGUGGCAGGAAGUAGGAAGAUGCUGUGAUAACAGGGAAGGGGGCUGCUCUGGGAAAUGUGAACCAGAUCAGGAAUGCAGAGGUACAGAAGGGACAGGCAGUGUGGCCUGUGCUCCUGCAAUGUUCUUAGCAUGAGAACCGUGAAAAAAAAAAAUGUAACCCAUACGUACUCUACAUCUCAGGGUGGGCACAGUAGUCUGUGCUUUACCAAUCUCUCAGAGUUAGAUUGUGCUGUACAUUCCAUGCUAAUGAAGGGUUUCAAGUGUGAGUGGUCUUUGUUCUAGGAUCUCCAGGCAGGAGAAUAUAUCUAAAAGACAGUUUAUUAUGUCUAACUCAAAAAGGACAAUUGAAGUUCCUGGUUGCAAGUUGCAUGCUACCUGUAAUACAUAGGAUACCCCAAUUCAAACAAAACAUGGAAAUAAUAGAUAACAUACUAUAUUGCCAACUGAAAAGUUGACAAUUUUAUUUUUCUAAUUUCAAAUAUUAUCCACAUAAUAACUUAGGUCAGAGUGGAGUAGACAUGGCCAGGCAAGGGCUUGGUUUGCAGAGUCUAGGAAAGAUGAGUUUCAGUGGAAAAGAGACCUCGGCAUCCCUGAACAGGUCAGCAGUGGGCCUCUGCCUGCAGAACACACUGGGGUGGGGGCUGGGUCACAUUUCCUGGAGGAGACAGGAGCUUCCAGGGAAACGUUUAUCCUACUGGAAAAACGAGUCAGGAUGGAAAGACUGGAGAGAGAUUGUGUGGGACCCAGAGAGCAGGUGUGAAUGACUGAGACUGUUAAAAUGAGACAUCCAGAUGCGUAAGGGGAUAGGCAUCCCAGGUGCCUACACUGAGGGCCUGUCCUUUGCUCUGGGGCGAUUAUAGGCUUACUCCAGCACACAUAACUGAGAAAGAGUUGGACAGUCUCCAUCAAAGAAGAGUAGCUGGUCACUGCAUGACUGGGGAGGAGCAUGGUACAAGCAUAAGGAUCACUGCAGUUAAUCUUGAUUGUCCAAAGGUCUGGGAGCCCGUUCAGAGGUAAUGGGUCUGUAAUCCCACCCCUCAGGAUGCUGAAGCAGAAAGGUUAUUAGUUCUAGGUCAGUCUGGACCACAUCCUAGACCCUAUGCAAACAAAACAAACAACAAAAGAUACAGGAAGAGAGUGAGAAUGGAAGGAAGAUGCUCAGGCCACACCCUAGACCUGCUGCCCCAGAACUGAUCAUUGCCGAGGGCCCUGGGUGACCUGUGUGCUCGUCGGUGGAACUGCCCUCGGAGGCCUCUACCCAACCAGCAGCAUAUCCCGGAAGACAUCAAGGCGCUUAGAAUGGCAUUGUGCAGGUUGGUCAGCUCUGAAGCUAAAACCAGGUUGGCCCUCAUGUGAGGCAGCAAGAAGAUUAUGCACAUAGCCCAGGCAGAGAGAAGAGUAGAUGGUGCCAGUUAGCUAAAAGGGGUCCCUGCCCAACACAGGCAAGUUAAGACUUGUAGGGAUAGCCAGGAACUGUGCCGAGACUGAAGCUAGCAAGAUGCCCUUACUCUGUUUCUAACGAUUCUAAACUGAUGUGGGCCGAAAAGGUGGGUUGGGUUUGGGAAAAUGGAGCCAUAAGUAGUAUGGAUAAAUUUGAAGAGAUUUCAAAAACAAAAGUAAAAACAAAAAUCUUGCCAUCACUCCAACAUAUAAAGAUAGUUCCAUUUUCUAUUUUUCUUUACCUGGUCUGGUCUCCAUAGGCCCCAGCUCUGGAACCUAGCAGAAACAAUAAAUAUUUAAUUAAGAGUUUUAUUCUUCUCCAACCUUAACAUAACUGGUUCCUUUUAAACCUUCAUGCCAGUUGUUAAAGUCAAACAUGCUUCCGAGUCACUCGGAGGGCUUGUUAAAACAGAUUGUUGGCCUCCUCCUGGGGUUUCUGAUUCAGUAUAUUUUGGGUGGAGACCUUGAAUUUACAUUUCUAAUAAGUUCCCAGAAAGUACUGAUAUGUCUGGUCCACAGAUUUCCUAAACCUCUAAUGCAAACCAUUCAGAGUUGAAUUCUCAGGCACCAAGGGCAGUGUCUUAGUAAGACUUUAGAAUGAUGAUUCUCAAACUGAUCCAAAUUUCCAGUUGGUCAUGAACCACAUGCGAGACACUCACCUGUGCCACAAGGAACUCGCCAUGCCAGUUCAACACAGCUGAGCUGGGUUGUGUCCUGAUCAACAACGCAUGUCCUCUGAAAAAAUACAAGGAUGUCGUGGCAACAUCAAUCUGUAGUAAAAGUUUCUCCCCCACCCCUUUCUCUGUCUCUCUCUCCCACACACACACAGAAGUUUCUAAACAUGAGUUCUUAUAUUUAUCUUCAGACCAGUGACAGCGGACUGACACCACCUUUGAAUGCUCAAGUAACCGAAUUACAGGUCAGACAAGAAAAUGCAUGGUUUUGCUUACAUUCUCAGCCUUCCAUUUCCUUCUCAUUCCCAGGACAGCAUCUGGGUACCCAGUGGGAGCCGUAUACCCUAAUGACACCCAUAGAUUCCUCUGACUAGGCAACGAUUUCUACUAGAGAGGGUGAAUUUUUCUCCUUUUGGGUUUGGGUCUACUGGCCAGAGGCUCUGAGUCCAUUGAUGUAUCCUCACCCUUAAUAGGGAACAAGAUACCCUUGAGCCCUUUUUCCCCAUACAAAGCCAUGUUGGGACAGGAAUGUGUCCGGUGUACUAUCCCUGUGUUAAUGCUCAGACACACAGAAAGUAGUGCUGAGCCCCGAAAGCAGAAGAUCAAAGGGGAAUGCAGGCAGCUCAGAGGAUUUUGCAAACACGCUCUUGAGGAGCCAUUAUUAAGAACUAAAUAACCUGGAGCAGAGUCAGGAGGUCCUGAACAAAUGCAGCACGUCUUCCUAGUAAUUGCUAUGCAUUCGCUAAUGUGUCUGCUUGGUGCGGUUCCACCAUGCAGCUUGUACCACCUUUUUUCAGUGGCACAGCUUCCAAAACUUGAGCUACAAAGCCUUAUAAGUCAGGGCUUUGCUGUUGGGGAUAUUAUUUUAAGGUGUGCUGCUUUUGUUUAUGCUGCAUUUGUUUAACUCUGUGAAGCUGUGAUUCUUUGCCUGUCUACA